UGGGGAAUAUUGCACAAUGGGCGCAAGCCUGAUGCAGCCAUGCCGCGUGUAUGAAGAAGGCCUUCGGGUUGUAAAGUACUUUCAGCGGGGAGGAAGGGAGUAAAGUUAAUACCUUUACUCAUUGACGUUACCCGCAGAAGAAGCACCGGCUAACUCCGUGCCAGCAGCCGCGGUAAUACGGAGGGUGCAAGCAUUAAUCGGAAUUACUGGGCGUAAAGCGCACGCAGGCGGUUUGUUAAGUCAGAUGUGAAAUCCCCGCGCUCAACCUGGGAACUGCAUCUGAUACUGGCAAGCUUGAGUCUCGUAGAGGGGGGUAGAAUUCCAGGUGGAGCGGUGAAAUGCGUAGAGAUCUGGAGGAAUACCGGUGGCGAAGGCGGCCCCCUGGACGAAGACUGACGCUCAGGUGCGAAAGCGUGGGGAGCAAACAGG
rnacentral:rRNA from 1 species